UGAGGAAUUUUGCGCAAUGGGCGCAAUCCUGACGCAGCAACGCCGCGUGGGUGAUGAAGGCCUUCGGGUCGUAAAGCCCUGUCAGGUGGGAAGAAUGUCCCGGGACUGAACAGGUUCCGGGAGUGACGGUACCACCAGAGGAAGCACCGGCUAACUCCGUGCCAGCAGCCGCGGUAAUACGGAGGGUGCAAGCGUUAUUCGGAAUUACUGGGCGUAAAGCGCGUGUAGGCGGUACUGCAAGUCUGAUGUGAAAGCCCCGGGCUUAACCCGGGAAGUGCAUUGGAAACUGUGUGACUGGAGUACUGGAGAGGAUGGGGGAAUUCCCGGUGUAGAGGUGAAAUUCGUAGAGAUCGGGAGGAAUAUCAGUGGCGAAGGCGCCCAUCUGGACGGUAACUGACGCUGAGACGCGAAAGCGUGGGGAGCAAACA
rnacentral:rRNA from 1 species